UACGUAGGGGGCAAGCGUUGUCCGGAAUCAUUGGGCGUAAAGCGCGUGUAGGCGGCCUUGUAAGUCCGUUCUGAAAGCCCGGGGCUCAACCCCGGGAGGCGGAUGGAUACUGCAAGGCUCGAGUACGGAAGAGGCGAGUGGAAUUCCCGGUGUAGCGGUGAAAUGUGCAGAUAUCAGGAGGAACACCGGUGGCGAAGGCGGGUCUCUGGGCCGAUGACUGACGCUGGAGGAGCGAAAGCGUGGGGAGCGAACAGG
rnacentral:rRNA from 1 species